UACGAAGGUCCCGAGCGUUGUUCGGAAUCACUGGGCGUAAAGGGAGCGUAGGCGGCGUGGUAAGUCAGAUGUGAAAUCCCGGGGCUCAACCCCGGAACUGCAUCCGAUACUGCCGUGCUUAGAGGAUUGGAGAGGUAGCUGGAAUUCUUGGUGUAGCAGUGAAAUGCGUGGAUAUCAAGAGGAACACUCGUGGCGAAAGCGAGCUACUGGACAACUCCUGACGCUGAGGCUCGAAGGCCAGGGUAGCGAAAGGG
rnacentral:rRNA from 1 species